rnacentral:misc_RNA from 1 species
ACAGGGCUAGCUUUUCGGCGG